CCUACGGGAGGCAGCAGUAGGGAAUCUUUCACAAUGGGCGAAAGCCUGAUGGAGCAACGCCGCGUGCAGGAUGAAGGCCCUCGGGUUGUAAACUGCCUUUAUUAGCGAGAAAUAUGAUGGUAACUUAUGAAUAAGGAUCGGCUAACGACGUGCCAGCGGCCGCGGUUAUACGUAGGAUACGAGCAUUGUCCGGAGUGACUGGGUGUAAAGAGUUGCGUCGGUGGGAUAAUAAGUAGCUAUGGGAAUCUGGUCGCUCAACCAGUAAAAUUAUUAUCGACACUGGUAGUCUCGAGAACGGUAGAGGUAAGAGGAAUUUGUGGUGUAGGGGUGAAAUGCUUAGAUAUUAGAAAGAACACCGAUUGCGAAGGCAGGUUGCUAAAAUGGUUCUGACACUAAGGCUCGAAAGUGUAGGUAGCAAACAGGAUUAGAUACCCUUGUAGUC
rnacentral:rRNA from 1 species